GUGAGGAAUAUUGGUCAAUGGACGGAAGUCUGAACCAGCCAUGCCGCGUGCAGGAAUAAGGUCCUAUGGAUUGUAAACUGCUUUUAUUCGGGAAUAAACCUCUUUACGUGUAGGGAGCUGAAGGUACCGAAGGAAUAAGCACCGGCUAACUCCGUGCCAGCAGCCGCGGUAAUACGGAGGGUGCAAGCGUUAUCCGGAAUCAUUGGGUUGAAAGGGUCCGCAGGCGGGCUAUCAAGUCAGAGGUGAAAUCCCACAGCUUAACUGUGGAACUGCCGUUGGAACUGAUGGUCUUGAAUUAAGUGGGCGUUGGCGGAAUAUGACAUGUAGCGGUGAAAUGCAUAGAUAUGUCAUGGAACACCGAAAGCGAAGGCAGCUAACGAUACUUAUAUUGACGCUCAUGGACGAAAGCGUGGGUAGCGAACAGGAUUAGAAACCCCGGUAGUCC
rnacentral:rRNA from 1 species